GGCCUCUCAAAGUGCUGGGAUUACAGGGGUGAGCCACUGUGCCCAGCCCGAGUUACGUGCCUUUUUAUCUUCACCCUCAAGACUCUGCUUGUGGAGGUUAAUUAUAGACAGACAUUUCCACUGACUCUGUGACCCCAGCUAGUCUCUAGGCCUCCUCAAGCCUCAAUAUGCUCACCUGUAUAAUGGGGCCACUUAUAACUUCUUCCUUCCUAUCUCUUAGUGAGUGAGAGGAUGUAUUAAUACAUAAAGUGUGCAUGGCAGGGACUCCUGUGCAUUCACCAAAGUCCCUUUCCUUUUCCUCCUGGGUACAUAAUCUAUAUUUUCCAGCCCACGUUGCUGUCAUAUGUGGCUAUGUGACCAAGUUCUGGCCAGCAGAAUGCAGGCGUGAGUAAUGUCAUUACUUCCAGACUUGAUCUACUGAAACCUUCCCCACGAGUCCCCUUCUACUCUUCCCCUGACUGCUGGCUGGAUGUGAGGAUUCGGCAGAAGACUCUAAUACCCAAGACAGGGUUGGCACACUAUGGUGCAUGAGCUAGAUUCUGCCUGUGGUCUGAUUUCAUAAGUAAAGUUCUACUGGAACACAGCCACAUCCAUUCAUUUGUGUAUUCCCUGUUGGUGCAUUUGUGCCGUAAGGGCAGAGUACACUCACUGUGUCAGAGACCCUGUGACCUACAAAGGCAAAAACUUCUAUUAUCUGGCUCUUUAUAGAACAGUUUGCUGAUGCUUGCCCUCAAAGAUGGCAGAUCCACAGAUAGAAGGAGCCUGGUUUGUGAGUAGCAGCAUCGGAAGCUCAACAUGGAUGGCUGCUGGGAAUCUCCACGUGGGACUCUUCAUAAGGGAGAAAUCAACAGUUAGCACAGUCAUGGAAGACAGUCAAAUGGGUACUCAGCAAGUACCUUCCCAAGCUCCCUUGCAGGGAUGGUGGUCAUGUGACACAGAUCUGACCAAUGAGAUGUGAGCAUUGCUCUCCUCUCCCAGUGCAUUACCAGAAAUGGGAUCACAUUUGCAGAGCUGCACAGAGGGAUGCUUCAAGGAGAGGGGACGAUACUCGUCCAGGAUCUGGGAUUCCCAAACAUCCUUCUGGUCAGCCAGUAUAUGGAGCCGUUGUUAAGCUUUGGAAUCAGACUUCCUAGCAUGAGAACAGACGAAUACACUAACUAAUGGAGGAAUGACUUGAUUCAGAAAUGUAAAGAAAUGGGACGGCUUGCACCUCAGGAGUUCUAGAGCAGUUCCUGCCUGUGGCUCCAAUAAGAAUGUCAAGGUCACUGGAUUGCAUUUUAUGUGUUUUCUUUCCUAAUUUGAUUUUUGGAAUAGAUGCUGUGCUAUAUUUACAUCGCUCGAAAAUCAAAAUAACAUAAAAAGAUAUUUCCAAAAAGCACUAAUCUAUGUCAUCUCUCUGUCCAUUGUGUUCUCCUUCUGCUCGUAGAUGGUCACAUUUAGUACUUUGCUGUAUCUUCUUCCAGUGUUUUUUUUGUUUUGUUUUGUUUUAUUUUUUGACAGAGUUUUUGCUCGUUGUUCAGCCCUGAAUGCAAUGGUGUGAUCUUGGCUCACUGCAACCUCUGCCUCCUGGGUUCAGGUGAUUCCCCUGCCUUAGCUUUCUGAGUAGCUGGGAUUACAGGCGCCCGCCACCACAGCCGGCUAAUUUUUGUAAUUUUAGUGGAGACGAGGUUUCACCAUGUUGGCCAGGCUGGUCUCGAACUCUUGACCUCAGGUGAUACACCCACCUCAGCCUCCCAAAGUCCUAGGAUUACAGGCAUGAGCCACUGCACCUGGCCUUCCAGUUUUUGUUUUGUUUUGUUUUUAUUCAAAUACAAGCAACCGUGUGUGUGUGUGUGUGUGUGUGUGUGUGUGUGUGUGUGUGUGUGUGUGUAUUUAUGUUCCCCCUCCUUAAUUACACAACAGGUAGCAAACCCUACAUACUCUUCUAUAAGCUGUGUUGACGAAAAGAGUCAAACUGUAAAAUAUUUAAAGAGAUUUAUUCUG
rnacentral:lncRNA from 1 species